CAAGUAGCUGUGACAGCUGAAUUCAGCACAUGAGCUACACUUAGAAAGCACUGCCUGAUUUUCUGAUAGAAAAUACUACAGUUAAAUAGAGAGGCCAGAGCCUGUAGCUUAAAAUGGGGGAAAAAUGAUGAAGAUAGUUCGCAUAGAACGUGGCUUUUGAGGAUAAAAGCUUCCUGACAGAAGAGAGGAAGAUUGUUACUGUGUAUUUAUAUAAAGCCAAGGCCAGUUUUUUGUGGGCUCCAUUGAAGCUGUGCCAAUUUACACCACCUCUAAAGAGUUCAUUAAACCUCUGUCUCACCAGCACAUUGCUCCAGGAUUUGAACAUUUGUUCAUCUGAAAGAUUCAUUAUCCUCCUAAUCCAGCUUGGUACCUUUUUUAAGACUGGGUGUGAAAUGUUGGUGGUUCCUGCACUUUCUCCCUGCAUUAAACACCCACUGCAUUCCCUGCAGAGUCUGGGAAGUUACAAGUGUCUGUUUAGCUGGGAUGGGAAAGGACCCGAGACCCAGACUGGAGCUUUCUAAAUCAGCUGUGCUUUGGAUUCAGGGCUCUGCUGCCCCUCAGAGCAAAGGGCCUUUUAUUGCUGCCACCUUGGGCUGUUUGUGCUAAAGUCAGUCAAGUCAGAUGAAUAAUUUGCACUGAGUUUUGAUUGAUUUUGUGUCUUUUUCAGUUUGCCAGGGAGCAAGGAACCAAUUGCAAUUCCUCAUUAAAAAUCACUUCUGCUUAAUUCCUGCAACUCCAGUUGUGGACACUGAAUAUCAACCCUAAGCCUUGAUAGUUGGCUUCUCCUGAACAUCCCUAAUCCGUGAGGUGCUGAUCAGCGAUGGCUGAGUUUGCAAGCAAUGAGAGCCCUUGUUAGGAAUGGUUUUCGUCAUCUCCCAGCACAAUGAAGAGAUUGCUGCCACACAAUGCACUCAUCACUCGGCAUUGUCCUUUCCCAGCAAAGAACCCAUCUGAAGAUGUUCUCUUGUUUUUCUGAUUGUGGAAUGUCUGAGACCAGAACAGAAUGGUACCAGAUUGGUUUGAUCACAGCUCUUACACCUGCAGAUUUCAGAAGGAUUCUGCCUUUCUCGAAGAGCUCUGCAACUCUUUUACUACAGCAAGCCCCUGUCCAGGAAGUCUAACAGAGCCUCAUUCAUUGAAUCACAAGGUUUUUGCCCAAGGAGCUCCCUGCAGCCCUGUCUGAGCCCCUGGGUCCUUCAGAGAGGUGCUGGGAGCCCAUUCCUGCAGGAAACACCGAGCCACAUCUGUCUGGGCUCCACAAGAAGCUGCCUGGUGCUUGUCACAGCUGUGCUUCACCCAGUGUCCUGCCUGGCCACCACCCUCCUCUGCCAUUCGGUACCAGCCCAAGUGCUGGGGAACACAGAAGCCCUGAGUGUCUCUAAACUCUCUCUGCAAAGUCAGGGAGAGGUCAGAACUGCCAUCCAAAAAUAACUUUGUGCUGAGCUUUAAUCAAUGAACUUCACAAGAUUUGCUGAUCCAGACUGUAAAAUACAAUUUUAGCUCCGUGUCUGUGGUGCAGCUUCCUGUGACACGGAUCAACAGGGAAACCCCCACUGCAGCUCCAGCAGAAGGUCCAUAAAUAGCCAAGCCCACUAACAAGUAUUUUAUUAGUGCUCCAUAGCAACACAGAGGUGGUUUUGCUGCUCCUACAAGUCACAGUGCUGCACGAGGAGGCAACAGUUUGCUUUCUCUGUCUGUCAUCCAUGAGGGCAAAGAAGACAAGGGAGCCAAAGGAAGAGAAUCCCCAUCACUACUGGAGCAGCUGCUUUCCUGCCCUGAGGCUCCACUGCAGCAUUCUGGUACCUUUUUACCACACAGCCUCUUGGACAAAGCACUCCAGGAUGCUACAGUCAUUUUAACAGCCUGUGCAAUGCUUGGGAAGGUGUGGCUAAACAGU
rnacentral:lncRNA from 1 species